UGACUGACAGUAGCUAAUGAAUAAGCCCCGGCUAAUUCCGUGCCAGCAGCCGCGGUAAUACGGAAGGGGCAAACGUUACUCGGAUUUACUGGGCGUAAAGGGUGAGUAGGCGGAACGGUUAGUCUAGGGUGAAAGACUGGGGCUCAACCCCAGGAACGCCUUGGAUACUGCCGUUCUUGAGUAAGAUAGAGGGUGACAGAAUUCCUGGUGUAAGGGUGGAAUCUGUAGAGAUCAGGAAGAAUACCAAUGGCGAAGGCAGUCGCCUGGGUCUUAACUGACGCUGAAUCACGAAANCUAGGGGAGCGAACGGGAUUAGAUACCCCGGUAGUCCUAGCCGUAAACGUUGUACACUAGGUG
rnacentral:rRNA from 1 species